GCCUUGGUGGUGUAGUGGUAACACGCGUCCCCGUUAUGGAUGAAACGUGAAUUGAACUCCCGUCUAAGGUU